CAGCCGUAAACAAUGUGCGUUAGGUGUGUCGGUAACCACGCGUUACUGAUGCGCCGAAGAGAAAUCGUGAAACGCACCACCUGGGAAGUACGGUCGCAAGGCUGAAACUUAAAGGAAUUGGCGGGGGAGCACCACAACAAGUGGAGCCUGCGGUUUAAUUGGAUUCAACGCCGGACAUCUCACCGGAUAAGACAGCUGAAUGAUUGUCAAUCUGAAGGUUUUACAUGACUAGCUGAGAGGUGGUGCAUGGCGUCAGUGACU
rnacentral:rRNA from 1 species